CUCUCUCAGAGUCCGAGUUGUAAUUUGUAGAGGAUGUUUCGGGCGCGGCGCAGGUCUAAGUCCCUUGGAACGGGGCGUCGUAGAGGGUGAGAAUCCCGUAUGUGACCUGUGACCAACUCCAUGUGAAGCUCCUUCGACGAGUCGAGUUGUUUGGGAAUGCAGCUCUAAAUGGGUGGUAAAUUUCAUCUAAAGCUAAAUACCGGCCAGAGACCGAUAGCGCACAAGUAGAGUGAUCGAAAGAUGAAAAGCACUUUGGAAAGAGAGUUAAAAAGUACGUGAAAUUGUUGAAAGGGAAGCGCUUGCAACCAGACCUGUCCGUGGGCGAUCAACGGCUGUUCUCAGCCGUGCACUCGCCCUGAUCAGGCCAGCAUCGGUUUGGGCGGCGGGAUAAAGGCGUCGGAAAUGUAGCUCCUCCCGGGGAGUCUUAUAGACCUUCGUGCAAUGCCGCCAGCCCAGACCGAGGACCGCGCUUCGGCUAGGAUGCUGGCAUAAUGGUUGUAAGCGACC
rnacentral:rRNA from 1 species